UGCUAACCCGGGAGGGGACACCAACAGGUGGGCAGUUUGGCUGGGGCGGCACCCUGCGGAAAAGAUAUCAGUAGGGCCUAAUGGUAAGCUCAUCCAGGUUGGAAAUCUGGAGUUGAGUGCGAAGGCAAAAGCUUACCUGACUGUAUUUCGCACAGCAAAGAAUGCAGAGACGAAAGUCGGGCUUAGCGACCCCACGUAGUUUUUUAAUAGGACUCGUGUGUGUCAGAAAAGGUACCUCAAGGAUAACAGGCUUGUCGCGCCCGAUAGUUCAUAUUGACGGCGCGGUUUGGUACAUCGCUGUCGGCUCUUCCUAUCCUGGUUGUGCAUAAGCAACCAAGGGUGUCGGAGUUCACGCAUUAAAAGGGAUCGUUAGCUGGGUUAAGAACGUCAAAAUAAAGCUAACUGAUUUAACCAAAUCGCAACUAUCAAAAACGCGGCGUUGUGUCGAAGUGAUUCGACAAAAAAUAAAAUCAGCUCAUAUCGGAGAAGCCUUAUAUACAAAAAAUAUUACAUGGUAACCCCGAGGGAAGUCGUAAUUGACCCCGUAGAGACUUAGAUUUUCCUUAAAUGGAAUAGGAAUCGUCAAAUUCUGAUAAAAUCUGGAAGUUCAAUAAAAUGAACUUAAUACGCUGAUGCCUCAAACUCGUAAGAGUUCUGAGGACAUGGUAUAGUCCACUCUAUAGCAAAUGAAUAAGUUAUAGGUAAAGUACGCGAGACAGUUUGUAUGAUAUCUACUAGGCGCGCAGUUGUCUGAGUGGAACGAGUAUCUAGUACGAGAGGAACGGUACUCGGAUGCCUCUGGUAUAUCGGUUGUUAUGAAGCAGGCCGAGCAGCUACGCAUUGUAUGGAUAAGUACUGAAAGCAUCUAAGUACGAAGCCAUCCGCAAGACGAGACAACAAAGGCCGUCGAAGAAGACGACGUUGAUAGAGUUGGCGUGUAAGAUCCAAGAACACGAGGAUUUGAGCGCGCAACUACUAAUAGCCUCAAAUGUAUUCAUA
rnacentral:rRNA from 1 species